rnacentral:rRNA from 1 species
UACAGAGGGUGCGAGCGUUGUUCGGAAUUACUGGGCGUAAAGCGCACGUAGGCGGCUUUGUAAGUUAGAGGUGAAAGCCCGGGGCUCAACCCCGGAAUUGCCUUUAAGACUGCAUCGCUUGAAUCCGGGAGAGGUGAGUGGAAUUCCGAGUGUAGAGGUGAAAUUCGUAGAUAUUCGGAAGAACACCAGUGGCGAAGGCGGCUCACUGGACCGGUAUUGACGCUGAGGUGCGAAAGCGUGGGGAGCAAACAGG